AUUGAACGCUGGCGGCAGGCCUAACACAUGCAAGUCGAGCGAGCGGCGGACGGGUGAGUAAUGUAUGGGGACUGCCCGAUAGAGGGGGAUGACUACUGGAAACGGUGGCUAAUACUGCAUACUGCGGGAUAACCCUCAUGGGAUUAGCUAGUAGGUGGGGUAAAGGCUCACCUAGGUGUCGAUCGCUAGCUGGUCUGAGAGGAUGACAAGCCACACUGGGACUGAGUCACGGCCCAGACUCCUACGGAGGCAGCAGUGGGGAAUAUUGGGCAAUGGGCGCAAGCCUGAUGCAGCCAUGCCGCGUGUAUGAAGAAGGCCUUAGGGUUGUAAAGUACUUUCAGCGGGGAGGCGUUACCCGCAGAAGAAGCACCGGCUAACUCCGUGCCAGCAGCCGCGGUAAUUC
rnacentral:rRNA from 1 species